GGAGUGGUAGCUCAGUGGUCAGAAUGUUGGGGUUUCUGAUCAGAAGGUCAUGGGUUCAAAUACCAGCAACACCA